AUGAACGCUGGCGGCGUGCCUAAUACAUGCAAGUCGAGCGCACAGACGAGGAGCUUGCUCCUCUGACGUUAGCGGCGGACUGGUGAGUAACACGUGGAUAACCUACCUAUAGGACUGGGAUAACUUCGGGAAACCGGAGCUAAUACCGGAUAAUAUAUUGAACCGCAUGGUUCAAUAGUGAAAGACGGUUUUGCUGUCACUUAUAGAUGGAUCCGCGCCGCAUUAGCUAGUUGGUAAGGUAACGGCUUACCAAGGCAACGAUGCGUAGCCGACCUGAGAGGGUGAUCGGCCACACUGGAACUGAGACACGGUCCAGACUCCUACGGGAGGCAGCAGUAGGGAAUCUUCCGCAAUGGGCGAAAGCCUGACGGAGCAACGCCGCGUGAGUGAUGAAGGUCUUCGGAUCGUAAAACUCUGUUAUUAGGGAAGAACAAAUGUGUAAGUAACUAUGCACGUCUUGACGGUACCUAAUCAGAAAGCCACGGCUAACUACGUG
rnacentral:rRNA from 1 species